AAGAUAAUCCAACUACAAAGGAACCCUAGGGUUUUUAAGGAAGCACCAUCAUUCCAAUUGGAUCAUUAAGGGAAUUUGAGUUAACUAAAGGUUCUACAAUCAAUUGCCGGUAACUAAGACGAGGUGUCCUUGUAAACCUGU